GAUGAACGCUGGCGGCGUGCCUAAUACAUGCAAGUCGAGCGAACAGACGAGGAGCUUGCUCCUCUGACGUUAGCGGCGGACGGGUGAGUAACACGUGGAUAACCUACCUAUAAGACUGGGAUAACUUCGGGAAACCGGCGCUAAUACCGGAUAAUAUAUUGAACCGCAUGGUUCAAUAGUGAAAGACGGUUUUGCUGUCACUUAUAGAUGGAUCCGCGCCGCAUUAGCUAGUUGGUAAGGUAACGGCUUACCAAGGCGACGAUGCGUAGCCGACCUGAGAGGGUGAUCGGCCACACUGGAACUGAGACACGGUCCAGACUCCUAAGGGAGGCAGCAGUAGGGAAUCUUCCGCAAUGGGCGAAAGCCUGACGGAGCAACGCCGCGUGAGUGAUGAAGGUCUUCGGAUCGUAAAACUCUGUUAUUAGGGAAGAACAAAUGUGUAAGUAACUAUGCACGUCUUGACGGUACCUAAUCAGAAAGCCACGGCUAACUACGUG
rnacentral:rRNA from 1 species